UACGGAGGGUGCAAGCGUUAUCCGGAUUCACUGGGUUUAAAGGGUGCGUAGGCGGACAGGUAAGUCAGUGGUGAAAUCUCUGGGCUUAACCCAUAAACUGCCGUUGAUACUAUUUGUCUUGAAUAUCCUGGAGGUAGGCGGAAUAUGUCAUGUAGCGGUGAAAUGCUUAGAUAUUUAGGGGAACACCAAAAGCGAAGGCAGGAGACUGGACCAAAUCUGACACUGAAACACGAAAGCGUGGGUAGCGAAUGGG
rnacentral:rRNA from 1 species